AGAGUUUGAUCAUGGCUCAGGAGAACGCUGGCGGCGUGCUUAACACAUGCAAGUCGAGCGGAAAGGCCCUUUCGGGGGGUACUCGAGCGGCGAACGGGUGAGUAACACGUGAGUAAUCUGCCCUUGGCUUUGGGAUAACUACCGGAAACGGUGGCUAAUACCGGAUAUGACCAUGCUCGGCAUCGGGUGUGGUGGAAAGUUUUUUCGGCCAGGGAUGUGCUCGCGGCCUAUCAGCUUGUUGGUGGGGUAAUGGCCUACCAAGGCUUCGACGGGUAGCCGGCCUGAGAGGGUGACCGGCCACACUGGGACUGAGACACGGCCCAGACUCCUACGGGAGGCAGCAGUGGGGAAUAUCGGACAAUGGGCGGAAGCCUGAUCCAGCAACGCCGCGUGAGGGAUGACGGCCUUCGGGUUGUGAACCUCUUUCAGUACCGACGAAGCGCCGAUGAUGGUGGUGACGGUAGGUACAGAAGAAGCACCGGCCAACUACGUG
rnacentral:rRNA from 1 species